rnacentral:rRNA from 1 species
GUCUACGGCCAUACCACCCUGAACACGCCUGAUCUUGUCUGAUCUCAGAAGCUAAGCAGGGUCGGGCCUGGUUAGUACUUGGAUGGGAGACAAUACAAAAUUGAGGCCUUACGUAGUAA